GACGAACGCUGGCGGCGUGCUUAACACAUGCAAGUCGAACGGAAAGGCCCUGCUUGCAGGGUACUCGCGUGGCGAACGGGUGAGUAACACGCGGGUGAUCUGCCCUGCACUUCGGGAUAAGCCUGGGAAACUGGGUCUAAUACCGGAUAGGAGCCAUUUUUAGUGUGAUGGUUGGAAAGUUUUUUCGGUGUAGGAUGGGCUCGCGGCCUAUCAGCUUGUUGGUGGGGUAAUGGCCUACCAAGGCGGCGACGGGUAGCCGGCCUGAGAGGGUGGACGGCCACAUUGGGACUGAGAUACGGCCCAGACUCCUACGGGAGGCAGCAGUGGGGAAUAUUGCACAAUGGGCGCAAGCCUGAUGCAGCGACGCCGCGUGGGGGAUGACGGCCUUCGGGUUGUAAACUCCUUUCGCUAGGGACGAAGCUUUUGUGACGGUACCUAGAUAAGAAGCACCGGCUAACUACGUG
rnacentral:rRNA from 1 species